rnacentral:rRNA from 1 species
AGCUCCAAUAGCGUAUAUUAAAGUUGUUGCGGUUAAAAAGCUCGUAGUUGGAUUUCUGUUUUGGCGCGCCGGUCAGCCUUAUGGGCUUGUAUUGGUUGAGCCAGAGCAUCCUCAUGGGGAACUUGUUGUGCUUCAUUGCAUGGCUUGGUACCUAUGACUUUUACUUUGAGGAAAUUAGAGUGUUCACGGCAGGCAAGCGCUUUGAAUAUAUUAGCAUGGAAUAAUAAUAUAGGACCUUGGGCUUAUUUUGUUGGUUUUCUGGACUAAGGUAAUGAUAAAUAGGGAUAAUUGGGGCCAUUCGUACUAUCAAGCUAGAGGUGGAAUUCUUAGAUUUUGAUAUGACGAACUACUGCGAAAGCAUUUGGCAAGGAUGUUUUCAUUGAUCAAGAACG